UACAGAGGUGGCAAGCGUUGUUCGGAAUUACUGGGCGUAAAGGGCGCGUAGGCGGUCUUCUAAGUCUUGUGUGAAAUCCCUCGGCUCAACUGAGGAACUGCACGGGAUACUGGAAGACUUGAGUUCGGGAGAGGGAAGCGGAAUUCCGGGUGUAGCGGUGAAAUGCGUAGAUAUCCGGAGGAACACCGGUGGCGAAGGCGGCGACCUGGGUAGAUACGUGACGCUGAGGUGCGAAAGCGUG
rnacentral:rRNA from 1 species